CUACCGCUCUCUAACCUGAACCUAUUUGAAAAUCUUUACCUCAAAAGAAAACACUCAAUAGUUAUGUAACAUAGAGAUUUCAUAAAACAUAUCCAGUAUUACAAGUUCACAGGGCAUUUCCACUGAUGUACAGGAUUUUGGAAAAUUUUUAAAAAUGUGAUACUACUACUAUCCAGGAAAAAGGAAGAAUACCAUAAUCUAGAUGAAAGUUUUUCCUUGAAACAAAGAACUCUUCUACUGUUUUUGAAAUACUUUUCCAUAAAACCAAUGCCUAUGAACUAAACUGAUGCCUAAAAUUGAAAGGUUUAAAAAGUGGAAACGUAUCUUUGAAAAUGAAGUUGAUAAGAAGAAAUUGAUACUGGAGCAGCUUUUCACUCAAAUGCACUUAUUAUGUGCAAAGCACUGGGCUCAACAAAGUGAAUUUGACAAUAAACAAGACAGAGAAGGUCCCUAUUCUCCUGGGGCUUCUACCCUGGUGAAGAUUCAAGUUGAUGAUGCUACUCACAAGAGGGAAGAACUGGCAGAGAGGAGAAA